CGGGUGAGUAAUGUCUGGGAAACUGCCUGAUGGAGGGGGAUAACUACUGGAAACGGUAGCUAAUACCGCAUAAUGUCGCAAGACCAAAGAGGGGACCUUCGGGCCUCUUGCCAUCGGAUGUGCCCAGAUGGGAUUAGCUAGUAGGUGGGGUAACGGCUCACCUAGGCGACGAUCCCUAGCUGGUCUGAGAGGAUGACCAGCCACACUGGAACUGAGACACGGUCCAG
rnacentral:rRNA from 1 species